AAAAUUGGAAACAAGCAUGCUCAUAGACACAGCAGUUUCUCAAACACUGGCCGAGCGCAAAAUUUGAAAACCAACCCUCAACCUCAAUCGGGGUGCCGGCGUCCGACGAAGUCGACGGGCCAUCCCCAUUCCCCACCCGGCAGUCGGCAGUCCCCACACCCCAAGACCUCUGAAGAGUCGGAAGAAGAAGCGGGCGAUGGAAGACGGCGACGAGAGCGCGGCCGCGGCGGCGGCGCUGGGGCUGAGCCCGCAGCUUUUCGUCAACGAGGUCCACGGCAUCAUAGCCGACAUCAGCGCCGAGGCCUUCGAGUACUGUCUCCAGGCAGCAGCCGCGCCAGGUGUCGUCGGCGCCGCCACGGCUGCAGAGAAGGCCACGGAUCUCCAGCGGGGAUUAAAUGCUAUUCACCAUGUUGUAAAGGAUCGACUGGAUAAGAGAAUGACCAACUGGGAGAAAUUCUGCUAUCGACAUUGCUUCGAUGUACCUGAAGGUUUUGUGGCCGCUGAUGAUGAUAGUUCUUGUGCAAAUGAAUCACAAAAAGAUGGGAUUUCGGAUUCAGAUUUGGAUUUGGAACUUGACUCUUUGAGGAGAAAGUUUGGAAGUGCUAACAAGGAAUCUGAAAACCUUGAAAGAGAGUUGUCCUCACUGGAAAGGCAAGCUACGUUCAAAAGAAGACUUGAUUCUUCUGUCUCUGAGAUAGAAAAGUUGUUUGAAGAAGAAAUGGUGCAGGGAAAUUUGAAAGAUCUUGUGAAGGCAAUACCGGUUUUGCACCAGAAAAUAAUAGAUGCAAAUCAGAGAAGGACUGAGAUUAGGAGCUUGGUAGAUCAACAGGCUUGGAACACGAAGAGAUCGAGAGACAGCAAGCCAUAAGCGCUGGAGAAGAGUACUGCCAGUUCCCACUUUCCCUCUUCAGUUCUCCCGUGUUCUACUGCAUGUGUUGAAGACAUUCAAGAGGUUGUCAACAUCUUACAGAGCAAGUAGCUUGUUGCUCUUUUCCUGAUUCAUGUUGGUUCCACAUAGCGCCUGCAGCUUGCUUGCUUGGAUAAAGCAGUGGUUUGCCCAGUUAGUCUUGUUAUUGAUCAACCGCUAUUAUUUGAUACUGGCUCCGUCCCAAAAUAUUAGUCGUUUUAGUAUUUUACCAGAUUCAUAUCAUACUCAGUGUAUGUCUUUUACAUAUGUCUAGAUUCAUUGUUAUUUAUUUAAAUAUAGACAUAAAAUUGGUGAGCUAGCCUAGUCCCAUUUUAAUGUUUUUUAAUGUA